CACGUAGGGCGCGAGCGUUGUCCGGAGUUAUUGGGCGUAAAGAGCUCGUAGGCGGCCUGUUGCGUCCGCUGUGAAAGCCCGGGGCUUAACCCCGGGUCGGCAGUGGAUACGGGCAGGCUAGAGGUAGGUAGGGGAGAAUGGAAUUCCCGGUGUAGCGGUGAAAUGCGCAGAUAUCGGGAGGAACACCGGUGGCGAAGGCGGUUCUCUGGGCCUUACCUGACGCUGAGGAGCGAAAGCGUGGGGAGCGAACAGG
rnacentral:rRNA from 1 species